CCUACGGGGAGGCAGCAGUGGGGAAUAUUGGACAAUGGGCGAAAGCCUGAUCCAGCAAUGCCGCGUGUGUGAAGAAGGCCUUCGGGUUGUAAAGCACUUUAAGUUGGGAAGAAAAAGCUCUGGCUAAUAUCUAGAGCCUUGACGGUACCAACAGAAUAAGCACCGGCUAACUCUGUGCCAGCAGCCGCGGUAAUACAGAGGGUGCUAGCGUUAAUCGGAUUUACUGGGCGUAAAGCGUGCGUAGGCGGUUUGAUAAGUCGAUUGUGAAAGCCCCGGGCUUAACCUGGGAAUUGCAGUUGAUACUGUCAGACUAGAAAACGGUAGAGGGAGGCGGAACUCCAGGUGUAGCGGUGAAAUGCGUAGAUAUCUGGAAGAACACCGAUGGCGAAGGCAACCUCCUGGGCCUGUUUUGACGCUGAGGCACGAAAGCGUGGGUAGCAAACAGGAUUAGAUACCCUGGUAGUCCACGCCGUAAACGAUGAGAACUUGACGUUGGUUUGCUUAAGCAAAUCGGUGUCGUAGCUAACGCGAUAAGUUCUCCGCCUGGGGNGAGCGCAGUGANANAANAGAGUAGAGNGNGAGAGNGCGAGACGACGACGAGGAGAGG
rnacentral:rRNA from 1 species